CCUACGGGAGGCAGCAGUGAGGAAUAUUGGUCAAUGGACGAGAGUCUGAACCAGCCAAGUAGCGUGAAGGAUGACUGCCCUAUGGGUUGUAAACUUCUUUUAUAAAGGAAUAAAACGAGGCACGUGUGCCUUGUUGCAUGUACUUUAUGAAUAAGGAUCGGCUAACUCCGUGCCAGCAGCCGCGGUAAUACGGAGGAUCCGAGCGUUAUCCGGAUUUAUUUGGUUUAAAGGGAGCGUAGAUUGGUUGUUAAGUCAGUUGUGAAAGUUUGCGGCUCAACCGUAAAAUUGCAAUUGAUACUGGCAGUCUUGAGUACAGUUGAGGUAGGCGGAAUUCGUGGUGUAGCGGUGAAAUGCUUAGAUAUCACGAAGAACCCCGAUUGCGAAGGCAGCUUACUAACCUGCGACUGACAUUGAUGCUCGAAAGUGUGGGUAUCAAACAGGAUUAGAUACCCUUGUAGUC
rnacentral:rRNA from 1 species